UUGAAAGUGACCUUGCACUCUCAAAAAAAUAAAAAAAAAAAUAAAAAAACAACGAUCUCCAUUGUUAAGUUUGGGUUGGAUUUAGAUUAACAUCUUAUCAAAGGAGAGGAAAAUCGGCAAAGCUAACAUCAGGUGAAGGUAAUUGGUAUUUGGGUUCUUAACGUACCCGUGACAAAUAUUUUGAGCAUAUGAACUUUUUGGAUGAUCAACAACAAUAUGAAGAACAUACCCAUAACAGAUUUUUUAUUUAUAAUUGCUAUUUUUAUUUCUUAUAAAUUUUCAUAGAAUGAAUUUUCGCAUAUUUUUUUUAUACAAAUAUGUAGAUACAUUAAAUGCAAAAUCUCAAACUAUUAACUGAUUUAGUUUUUCGGCAUUUUUC